UUACAGCCAAUUAGGUUGACCAUCUCCAUCACUGGGUCUGGUGUGGAAACAGCAGCUUCCUAGGUAGUGUAUCCAGCCUGCUGCUUCUAUUGGUUGUCCUAUGGGAUGUUGAAAUUGGUU
ensembl:snoRNA SNORA70 Small nucleolar RNA SNORA70